GCUAUCCUGGAAGAGCUCCCGGCUUCUGGCUUCUCUAGGCUUUGUACUGCUGGGUGAACUUCUGCCGGCGGACAAAGCAACAGGUGGCCAGAGUGGUGAGGAGGACAGCAGAGACCAGCACAAAGGUCAAGCCAGGCCAGCUGAUACUCAGCCCGGGGCUCUGGGGCCGUCUGGAAGGCCUCAAUACUGUUGCAGCUCAGGUCAAGCACACGCAGCUGUUGGAGGCUAAAGUCAGAGAUGCAGGCAGCCCAGUGACAGUGUCGGCUCCUACCACCUCCAGUGAAGCAGUUUCCUUGAGGCCUCAGAGACCCACGGAUACCCCUGCCAUCGAGCGCCCCCGUGAACCAGAAACCUAGCCCCUAACCCUGCCACCUUGCCAGCCCUGCCUGUCUCUUGCCCCCUCCUCCCUCACACCCUCUCUGCCAGCUGCAGCCAUUAGGAAUGGCUUCAUCCCCAUCCUCAGCUUCCUGGACCAUCUCGACUUCAGGAAGAAACAGCAAAAGGAACACAAUGACCACCGCCAUCACAGAGCGCUAGCUCUGUGGCAGGCCCCACGGCUGAGUGCACAGACCCCUUGCCUCAUUUAUUUACCCUGAUAUACCCCCUAAGGAAGCUGAGGCUCGGGGGUGGGGGGCGAUGAACUUCCCCCAGCUCUGACGGUCAGAAGCUCCAGGGCACCCGUGUGAGUUCCUUUUCCUGUUGGUGCCGGCUGAGUUCUGACCACUGGCCCCCAGCUGACU